GACGCUUUGUCUUUAACUGAUCUGACGAGCUUGCUCUGAUGUGAUUUUAUCUGACAAAGAGUGGCGAACGGGUGAGUAACACGUGGGUAACCUACCUCUUAGCAGGGGAUAACAUUUGGAAACAAGUGCUAAUACCGUAUAAUACCAACAACCGCAUGGUUGUUGGUUGAAAGAUGGUUCUGCUAUCACUAAGAGAUGGACCCGCGGUGCAUUAGCUAGUUGGUAAGGUAACGGCUUACCAAGGCAAUGAUGCAUAGCCGAGUUGAGAGACUGAUCGGCCACAAUGGGACUGAGACACGGCCCAUACUCCUACGGGAGGCAGCAGUAGGGAAUCUUCCACAAUGGGCGCAAGCCUGAUGGAGCAACGCCGCGUGUGUGAUGAAGGGUUUCGGCUCGUAAAACACUGUUAUAAGAGAAGAACGGCACUGAGAGUAACUGUUCAGUGUGUGACGGUAUCUUACCAGAAAGGAACGGCUAAAUACGUGCCAGCAGCCGCGGUAAUACGUAUGUUCCAAGCGUUAUCCGGAUUUAUUGGGCGUAAAGCGAGCGCAGACGGUUAUUUAAGUCUGAAGUGAAAGCCCUCAGCUCAACUGAGGAAUGGCUUUGGAAACUGGAUGACUUGAGUGCAGUAGAGGAAAGUGGAACUCCAUGUGUAGCGGUGAAAUGCGUAG
rnacentral:rRNA from 1 species